GAUGAACGCUAGCGGGAGGCCUAAUACAUGCAAGUCGAGCGGUAUAGAGACUUCGGUUUCUAGAGAGCGGCGCACGGGUGAGUAACGCGUACAUGACCUACCUUCAAGCCUGGGAUAGCCCUGGGAAACUGGGAUUAAUACCGGAUGUGAUAAUAAGUUUGGAUAUUUAUUAUUAAAGUUACGGCGCUUGGAGAUGGGUGUGCGUCUGAUUAGCUAGUUGGCGAGGUAACGGCUCACCAAGGCGACGAUCAGUAGGGGGCGUGAGAGCGUGACCCCCCACACGGUACGUGAGACACGGACCCGACUCCUACGGGAGGCAGCAGUAAGGAAUAUUGGUCGAAUAGGGCGGAAAGACCU
rnacentral:rRNA from 1 species